rnacentral:rRNA from 1 species
UACGAAGGGGGCUAGCGUUGCUCGGAAUUACUGGGCGUAAAGGGAGCGUAGGCGGAUAGUUUAGUCAGAGGUGAAAGCCCAGGGCUCAACCCUGGAAUUGCCUUUGAUACUGGCUAUCUUGAGUGUGGGAGAGGUUAGCGGAACUCCGAGUGUAGAGGUGAAAUUCGUAGAUAUUCGGAAGAACACCAGUGGCGAAGGCGGCUAACUGGCCCAUUACUGACGCUGAGGCUCGGAAAGCGUGGGAGCAAACAGGG